rnacentral:rRNA from 1 species
UACGAAGGGGGCUAGCGUUGCUCGGAAUCACUGGGCGUAAAGGGUGCGUAGGCGGGUCUUUUAAGUCAGGGGUGAAAUCCUGGAGCUCAACUCCAGAACUGCCUUUGAUACUGAAGAUCUUGAGUUCGGGAGAGGUGAGUGGAACUGCGAGUGUAGAGGUGAAAUUCGUAGAUAUUCGCAAGAACACCAGUGGCGAAGGCGACUACCUGGCCUGUUCUUGACGCUGAGGCGCGAAAGCUAGGGGAGCAAACGGG